rnacentral:rRNA from 1 species
GACGAACGCUGGCGGCGUGCUUAACACAUGCAAGUCGGACGAUGAAGCCGGAGCUUGCUCUGGUGAAUUAGUGGCGAACGGGUGAGUAACACGUGAGUAACCUGCCCUUGACUCUGGGAUAACUGCGGGAAACUGUAGCUAAUACCGGCUACGACCCUCGGAGGCAUCUCCUGGGGGUGGAAAGAAUUUCGGUCAAGGAUGGACUCGCGGCCUAUCAGCUAGUUGGUGAGGUAAAGGCUCACCAAGGCGACGACGGGUAGCCGGCCUGAGAGGGUGACCGGCCACACUGGGACUGAGACACGGCCCAGACUCCUACGGGAGGCAGCAGUGGGGAAUAUUGCACAAUGGGCGCAAGCCUGAUGCAGCAACGCCGCGUGAGGGAUGACGGCCUUCGGGUUGUAAACCUCUUUUAGCAGGGAAGAAGCGAAAGUGACGGUACCUGCAGAAAAAGCACCGGCUAACUACGUGCCAGCCGCCGCAGUAA